GUUACAUGCAAAGGGAAAAAAUAUGACUAAAACUCUUAAAUUCAUAUAUAUUAUGAUUUUAUUUCUUUCCCUAUUUCUUGUUGUAGAAAGUGUUUUCACUGGUAUUCCAUGUAAGAUUGAUGAAGACUGUCCACAAUUACCAAGGCCGGGGUCUUCGAAGAGCAUCAACUAUUACUGCUUUGCCCAUCAAUGUUUUUGCUAUAUACAAAUAGGAUAAUGAUAACGAUGCCUCGAGGGCAUUGAUUAAGCAUCUAAAACAAGCAAGUUUUUAUGAAAAUGUUGUGUAAUCAUUACUUGAUCAAAAGUAACAUCUUAUAUUCCCAAGACAAAAGUGCUAUUUGUAGAAUCCUUAACCAAAUACCCUGAGGGCAAUGGUUAGCAAGAUCCAUAAAAAUAAAAUAAAUAAAAGCCACGCCAAAAGUGGAACUGCCAAA